rnacentral:rRNA from 1 species
GGGCCCGCAUAAGCGGUGGAGUAUGUGGUUUAAUUCGAUGCAACGCGAAGAACCUUACCAGGGUUUGACAUCCUGCGAAUCUCUUGGAAACAGGAGAGUGCCUUCGGGAACGCAGUGACAGGUGGUGCAUGGCUGUCGUCAGCUCGUGUCGUGAGAUGUUGGGUUAAGUCCCGCAACGAGCGCAACCCACGUCUUUAGUUGCCAGCAUUUAGUUGGGCACUCUAGAGAGACUGCCGGUGAUAAGCUGGAGGAAGGUGGGGAUGACGUCAAGUCCUCAUGGCCCUUACGUGUUGGGCUACACACGUGCUACAAUGGUAUCUACAACAGGAAGCAAGACUGCGAAGUUAAGCAAAUCCCUAAAAGAUACCUCAGUUCGGAUUGCACUCUGCAACUCGAGUGCAUG